rnacentral:rRNA from 1 species
UUCGCAAUGCCCGAAAGGGUGACCCAGCAACGCCGCGUGGAGGAUGAAUGCCGUAAGGUUGUAAACUCCUGUGAGAAGGGAUGAAAAUGUGGGUUGCGAAGCCCGCUUUGACCGUACCUUCAGAGCAAACCCCGGCUAACUACGUGCCAGCAGCCGCGGUAAUACGUAGGGGGUUAGCGUUGUCCGGAUUUACUGGGUGUAAAGGGCGCGUAGGCGGGUCUGUAAGUCAGAGGUGAAAUCCUAACAGCUUAACUGUAGAGCUGCCUUUGAUACUGCGGAUCUUGAGUUCAGAAGAGAGAGAUGGAAUUCCAGGUGUAGUGGUGAAAUACGUAGAUAUCUGGAAGAACACCGGUGGCGAAGGCGGUGGUCUGGGCCGAAACUGACGCUGAGGCGCGAAAGCCAGGGGAGCAAACGGGAUUAGAUACCCCGGUAGUCCUGGCCGUAAACGUUGGGCACUAAGUAGAGGGGUUUU